GACGAACGCUGGCGGCGUGCUUAACACAUGCAAGUCGAACGAUGACGACCGGGCUUGCUCGGUCUGAUUAACGGCGAACGGGUGAGUAACACGUGAGCAACCUGCCCUUCACUCUGGGAUAACCUCGGGAAAUCGGGGCUAAUACCGGAUAUGAGCUCCUGUCGCAUGGCGGGUGUUGGAAAGUUUUUCGGUGAAGGAUGGGCUCGCGGCCUAUCAGUUUGUUGGUGAGGUAGUGGCUCACCAAGGCGAUGACGGGUAGCCGGCCUGAGAGGGCGACCGGCCACACUGGGACUGAGACACGGCCCAGACUCCUACGGGAGGCAGCAGUGGGGAAUAUUGCACAAUGGGCGAAAGCCUGAUGCAGCGACGCCGCGUGAGGGAUGACGGCCUUCGGGUUGUAAACCUCUUUCAGCAGGGAAGAAGCGAAAGUGACGGUACCUGCAGAAGAAGCGCCGGCUAACUACGUG
rnacentral:rRNA from 1 species